UACGGAGGGAGCUAGCGUUGUUCGGAUAUACUGGGCGUAAAGCGCACGUAGGCGGCGCAGCAAGUCAGGGGUGAAAUCCCGGAGCUCAACUCCGGAACUGCCUUUGAAACUGCAGUGCUAGAAUUCUGGAGAGGCGAGUGGAAUUCCGAGUGUAGAGGUGAAAUUCGUAGAUAUUCGCAGGAACACCAGUGGCGAAGGCGGCUCACUGGUCCGAUACUGACGCUGAGGUGCGAAAGCGUGGGGAGCAAACAGG
rnacentral:rRNA from 1 species